GUGCCAGCAGCCGCGGUAAGACGAACCGCCCGAACGUUGUUCGGAAUCACUGGGCUUAAAGGGAGCGUAGGCGGGCUGCCAAGUCCGGGGUGAAAUCCUCCAGCUUAACUGGAGAACUGCCUCGGAUACUGGAAGUCUCGAGGAGGGUAGGGGCAAGUGGAACCGUGGGUGGAGCGGUGAAAUGCGUUGAUAUCCAUGGGAACUCCGGUGGCGAAGGCGACUUGCUGGACCCUUUCUGACGCUGAGGCUCGAAAGCCAGGGGAGCAAACGGGAUUAGAUACCCCGGUAGUCC
rnacentral:rRNA from 1 species